rnacentral:rRNA from 1 species
GAUGAACGCUGGCGGCGUGCCUAAUACAUGCAAGUCGAGCGAACGGACGAGAAGCUUGCUUCUCUGAUGUUAGCGGCGGACGGGUGAGUAACACGUGGAUAACCUACCUAUAAGACUGGGAUAACUUCGGGAAACCGGAGCUAAUACCGGAUGAUAUUUUGAACCGCAUGGUUCAAAAGUGAAAGACGGUCUUGCUGUCACUUAUAGAUGGAUCCGCGCUGCAUUAGCUAGUUGGUAAGGUAACGGCUUACCAAGGCAACGAUGCAUAGCCGACCUGAGAGGGUGAUCGGCCACACUGGAACUGAGACACGGUCCAGACUCCUACGGGAGGCAGCAGUAGGGAAUCUUCCGCAAUGGGCGAAAGCCUGACGGAGCAACGCCGCGUGAGUGAUGAAGGUCUUCGGAUAGUAAAACUCUGUUAUUAGGGAAGAACAUAUGUGUAAGUAACUGUGCACAUCUUGACGGUACCUAAUCAGAAAGCCACGGCUAACUACGUG